rnacentral:rRNA from 1 species
GACGAACGCUGGCGGCGUGCCUAAUACAUGCAAGUCGAACGCUGAAGAGAGGAGCUUGCUCUUCUUGGAUGAGUUGCGAACGGGUGAGUAACGCGUAGGUAACCUGCCUUGUAGCGGGGGAUAACUAUUGGAAACGAUAGCUAAUACCGCAUAACAAUGGAUGACACAUGUCAUUUAUUUGAAAGGGGCAAUUGCUCCACUACAAGAUGGACCUGCGUUGUAUUAGCUAGUAGGUGAGGUAACGGCUCACCUAGGCGACGAUACAUAGCCGACCUGGGAGGGUGAUCGGCCACCCUGGGACUGAGACACGGCCCAGACUCCUACGGGAGGCAGCAGUAGGGAAUCUUCGGCAAUGGGGGCAACCCUGACCGAGCAACGCCGCGUGAGUGAAGAAGGUUUUCGGAUCGUAAAGCUCUGUUGUAAGUCAAGAACGAGUGUGAGAGUGGAAAGUUCACACUGUGACGGUAGCUUACCAGAAAGGGACGGCUAACUACGUG